rnacentral:rRNA from 1 species
GGGAGCUCUCCCAUAUGGUCGACCUGCAGGCGGCCGCGAAUUCACUAGUGAUUCGUAUUACCGCGGCUGCUGGCACGAAGUUAGCCGCAGCUUCUUCUUCGGGUACCGUCAUUAUCGUUCCCGUCGAAAGAGCUUUACACCCCGAAGGGCUUCAUCGCUCACGCGGCGUCGCUGCAUCAGAGUUUCCUCCAUUGUGCAAGAUUCCCCACUGCUGCCUCCCGUAGGAGUCUGGCCCGUGUUUCAGUGCCAGUGUGGCCGUGUGCCCUCUCAGGCCGGCUACCGAUCUUCGCCUUGGUGGGCCGUUACCCCGCCAACUAGCUAAUCAGCCGCGGACUCCUCUUCCAGCGCAUUGCUGCUUUCCUCUUACGAGCUUAUGCGGUAUUGUCCCCAGUUUCCCGGGGGUAUUCCCCACUAGAAGGUAGAUGAUCCACGUGUUACUCACCCGUACGCCACUUUACUCACAGUAUUGCUACUGCUUUCUCGUGCGACUUGCAUGUGUUAAGCGCGCCGCCAGCGUUGAUUCUGAGCCAUGAUCAAACUCUAAUCGAAUUCCCGCGGCCGCCAUGGCGGCCGGGAGCAUGCGAC